rnacentral:rRNA from 1 species
UUUGUCCUACGGGAGGCAGCAGUGGGGAAUAUUGGGCAAUGGGCGCAAGCCUUACACAGCAAUACCGCGUGAGUGAAGAAGGUCUUCGGAUUGUAAAGCUCUUUGAUCAGGGACGAACAGAUGACGGUACCUGAAGAACAAGCCCCGGCUAACUACGUGCCAGCAGCCGCGGUAAAACGUAGGGGGCGAGCGUUGUCCGGAAUGACUGGGCGUAAAGGGUGCGUAGGCGGCAUAAUAAGUUAGAAGCGAAAUACUCAGAGCUUAACUCGGGGG